AGCAGCGUGGCUCAGGGGAAAGAGCCUGGGCUUCGGACUCAGAGGUCGUGGGUUCGACUCCCGGCCCUGCCA
rnacentral:tRNA from 1 species